AGACUCCUACGGGAGGCAGCAGUGGGGAAUAUUGCACAAUGGGCGAAAGCCUGAUGCAGCGAUGCCGCGUGUGUGAAGAAGGCCUGCGGGUUGUAAAGCACUUUUAUCAGGAAAGAAAAAACCGGAACUAAUAUUUCCGGCAUUGACGGUACCCAAAGAAUAAGCACCGGCUAACUCAGUGCCAGCAGCCGCGGUAAUACUGAGGGUGCGAGCGUUAAUCGGAAUUACUGGGCGUAAAGCGAGUGUAGGCGGCUAUUUAAGUCGGAUGUGGAAGCCCUGGGCUCAACCUGGGAAUUGCAUUCGAUACUGUACAGCUAGAGUUUGGUAGAGGUAAGUGGAAUUCCGGGUGUAGCGGUGAAAUGCGUAGAUAUCCGGAGGAACAUCAGUGGCGAAGGCGGCUUACUGGACCAAAACUGACGCUGAGGCUCGAAAGCGUGGGGAGCAAACAGGAUUAGAUACCCUGGUAGUCCACGCCCUAAACGAUGUCAACUAGACGUUGGGCUCAUUAAUGAGCUUAGUGUCGCAGCUAACGCGUUAAGUUGACCGCCUGGGGAGUACGGCCGCAAGGUUGAAACUCAAAGGAAAUUGACGGGGGCCCGCACAAGAAG
rnacentral:rRNA from 1 species